rnacentral:misc_RNA from 1 species
GAUGUAGAACGUAGCGAAAUGCGAUAAGUAAUGUGAAUUGCAGAAUUCAGUGAAUCAUCGAGUCUUUGAACGCACAUUGCGCCCCCUGGUAUUCCGGGGGGCAUGCCUGUCCGAGCGUCAUUGCUGCCCUCAAGCACGGCUUGUGUGUUGGGCCUCCGUCCUCCUCCCGGGGGACGGGCCCGAAAGGCAGCGGCGGCACCGCGUCCGGUCCUCGAGCGUAUGGGGCUUCGUCACCCGCUCUUGUAGGCCCGGCCGGCGCUUGCCGACACAUCAAUCUUUUUUCCAGGUUGACCUCGGAUCAGGUAGGGAUACCCGCUGAACUUAAGCAUAUCAAUAAGCGGAGGA